rnacentral:lncRNA from 1 species
AAGUAGAGCUGUUGGAAGUAGAGCUGUCUGAAGUAGAGCUGUUAUAAAAAGUUGUUUGCUGUUUGGUAACUACAUUCGUAAAGUGCUGUGGUACUUUGUUUUGUGUUUGGUAAACAAACUGAGGAAGUACUUUUGUAUGACAAAAUUACCAUAAAGGACAUUGCAUAGUAUUAUACAACAGAACAUAAUAAAACAUAACAUAAAUUAAUACAUAAAUAUACGAUAUAGUAUAAUAUUAUUGUAAUAUAAAAUAAUAUUAUGUUGAUAUAGCAUA